AGGGUUAACAAACUGAGUAGGAAAACAUUCAGACACAGAGACCACAGAGCCCAACCUUACAACAGAGCCACGCCAGAGAACCGUGUGUGUGGAGAAGCAGGACCGUCCGGAAUAACGCACACUACAAGACUGCAGAACAGUACCCCCC